CCCCAGCUAGCUCAACCGUAGAGCGCUCGGCUGUAGACCGGGAGGUUGCUGGUUCAAAUCCGGCGCUGGGGA
rnacentral:tRNA from 1 species